GUGAAGGUUGUUUUUAUCUUGGUUAAUGCCUUUUCACUCCCAUUAACUGAGAAACUCCCCUUUCAGGAGUGCAACAUCAGAAUUUGAAAAGCCGUAUUUGUAGAAGACAUCGAUGCGAAUUGUUUCUUGUUUUCUUCCUUCCCCCGCCCUCAGUAGCAUGUCAGUUCUAUGAGGAUAGAAUUCAUUUUAAGUCACCCUUAUGUCCCUAAUACCUAGACAGUGUUUGGCACAGAGUUCGUGCUUAAUAAACAAUUAUUGAAGAAAGAAUUUAGAGAUUAACUAACCUCCGCUCCCUAAGGUCUGUGUCUUCACUCUGGACUGAGUAGCCAGACUCUCAGGCUGGGCUUUGGCCAUUGUUUAUGUCACAAGGAUGAGGUUUGUGGGUGUCGAAGGAAGACCCCAUUCAGAGCUAAUUUCUUGGUUCAGCUUUGCAAAUGCAGGGAGGGUGAUCAGAAAAGUCUGGGAGUGUUGGUGGACCCAUAGGCUUGUAAAGUGUUGGCCAUAUUAUGCCUCAAACCCUAAGCUCUUCAGUCAAAAUGGAAUUUGUGUCAUAGUCUCAGUGUGACAAUGCUGUUCAGUCAAUGUGAACAGCAAGCAGUGAAAAACAGACGCCAGACUACUGAAACCCGUUACCUCUGGAGGAGAUGACAGGAGCAGGACGAGCAGAAACAAAGUUGCAAACGUUUUCAUGGGGCUCAUCCCUUCCCACUAGAAUUGGUCAGCUCCAGCAUCCAUGUCUGCACUGUGUAUCUCAUUUUCCCUGGCUGUAAUAACUCAUUGGCCUAGGAUGGACACCUUACCCAAGCCAAGAAUUGAGAUAUGUGAUCUAAUCAGCCCAGUCUAAGAACUGGUUUGAACCAUAACCAUCAACCUCUCUCAGGAGAGUGAUUAACAGCCAUAUUGCACUGGGGCAGAGGCAGGGGUGGAGAGAAGAGCCCAAAAGACAUGGAGGGAGAUGUCCCAAUGGCUUUGCACUUCGCUGUUCUGGCUCUUUCCUGCAGCUUUAUUGUAUUCUUGGUCUUCAGAUUCCAUGAGAUAGCCAUAUACAUAUCCUUAUACAUAAAAGAAUAUACAUAUACGUAAAUUUGCAUGUACCUAUACAUGAACAUAUAUAUAGAAUAUGCAUAUACAUGUUGAAAUAAAUUUCUAGGCCCAAAAUGGAGCCACUCCUGCUUGGGGUGCCAUGUCAGCAAACUGAUAUUUAGAUAACUUUCAUGUCCCUGUAAAUGCUCCACUUGACCAGAAAUGCAGAAUAUCCAGUUAGCCAACCCCCAAACGUCAAGCCAUCUCUGGGCUCUAUACUUAUUUCCUUGUUCCUUCUCACCCCAAACAUGUUUGAGUGUGUGGCCCCAGCCAAUCAGAUAUUUUCUCUUUUUCUCUUCUUUGUUCUUAUUCUUUAUCCUAUAAAAGCUUCCUGCCUUCUUCCCCGUUUUGCAGUUCUCUGGACCCUUGGGAAUGGAGAUUGUCUGCUUCAGGAAGUGUUAAAGUUUGUUUAUAUCACCUAAGUUGCCUUCUUUAAUCGUUUUUAAAAUACAUAUGCAUAAAAUUCUCCACUCUCCCUUCAGCCAACUUUAACUGAAUUCUGUUAUGGCAACCAAGACUUUAGCCAAUCUAAAAAUAAAGAUCUUCAGGGAUAGCGAGCUCCAGAAUUAAUCCUAGAGGAAAACCAUUUAAUAUGAAUGCUGCCAUGCACCCUCAUCUUGUUUUGUUGCUGAGCCAGAGGCCUGAAAACUUUGAUGACCAAGGUCCUCCAUCAUCAAACACCUUCAUCCAGGAGAAAGUCUGUGGAAAACCACACGACUCAGUCAUUGCCACCGUCAAACACCGACAGAAGCAUCACAUCCUUUCUCGAGAUGUAUCCAAAGGAAAGAUGAGUUCAGGAUGUCUACAGCCCCAGCUAACCGAUCUCAAUUUCUCUUCAGGGAAAAAAACAAUAAAAAUUAUACCCUCAAGGGG
rnacentral:lncRNA from 1 species